rnacentral:rRNA from 1 species
GGCGAACGCUGGCGGCGUGCUUAACACAUGCAAGUCGAACGGAAAGGCUCCAGCUUGCUGGAGUACUCGAGUGGCGAACGGGUGAGUAACACGUGGGUAAUCUGCCCUGCACUCUGGGAUAAGCCUGGGAAACUGGGUCUAAUACUGGAUAUGACCUUUCUCCUUAUGGGGUUUGGUGGAAAGUUUUUCGGUGUAGGAUGAGCCCGCGGCCUAUCAGCUUGUUGGUGGGGUGAUGGCCUACCAAGGCGACGACGGGUAGCCGGCCUGAGAGGGUGAUCGGCCACAUUGGGACUGAGAUACGGCCCAGACGCCUACGGGAGGCAGCAGUGGGGAAUAUUGCACAAUGGGCGGAAGCCUGAUGCAGCGACGCCGCGUGAGGGAUGACGGCCUUCGGGUUGUAAACCUCUUUCAGCAGGGACGAAGCGUAAGUGACGGUACCUGCAGAAGAAGCACCGGCUAACUAUGUG